CGCGUAGGCGGUCUCUUAAGUCAGAUGUGAAAUCCCUCGGCUUAACCGAGGAAGUGCAUUUGAUACUAGGAGACUUGAGUAUGGGAGAGGGAAGCGGAAUUCCUGGUGUAGCGGUGAAAUGCGUAGAUAUCAGGAGGAACACCGGUGGCGAAGGCGGCUUCCUGGACCAAUACUGACGCUGAGGCGCGAAGGCGUGGGGAGCAAACAG
rnacentral:rRNA from 1 species